rnacentral:rRNA from 1 species
GACGAACGCUGGCGGCGUGCUUAACACAUGCAAGUCGAACGGAAAGGCCUUGCUUUUGUGGGGUGCUCGAGUGGCGAACGGGUGAGUAACACGCGAGUAACCUGCCCUUGACUUUGGGAUAACUUCAGGAAACUGGGGCUAAUACCGGAUAGGAGCUCCUGCUGCAUGGUGGGGGUUGGAAAGUUUCGGCGGUUGGGGAUGGACUCGCGGCUUAUCAGCUUGUUGGUGGGGUAGUGGCUUACCAAGGCUUUGACGGGUAGCCGGCCUGAGAGGGUGACCGGCCACAUUGGAACUGAGAUACGGCCCAGACUCCUACGGGAGGCAGCAGUGGGGAAUAUUGCACAAUGGGCGGAAGCCUGAUGCAGCAACGCCGCGUGCGGGAUGACGGCCUUCGGGUUGUAAACCGCUUUCGCCUGUGACGAAGCGUGAGUGACGGUAAUGGGUAAAGAAGCACCGGCUAACUACGUG